rfam:Ipomoea nil DNA, scaffold: scaffold1762, cultivar: Tokyo-kokei standard.
GGAUGCGAUCAUACCAGUACUAAUGCACCGGAUCCCAUCAGAACUCCGAAGUCAAGCGUGCUUGGCGAGAGUAGUACUAGGAUGGGUAACCCCCUGGGAAGUCCUCGUGUUGCAUUCC